rnacentral:rRNA from 1 species
UACGUAGGGGGCUAGCGUUGUCCGGAAUCAUUGGGCGUAAAGAGCGUGUAGGCGGCCCGGUAAGUCCGCUGUGAAAGUCGGGGGGCUCAACCCUCGGAUGCCGGUGGAUACUGUCGGGCUCGAGUACGGAAGAGGAGUGUGGAAUUCCCGGUGUAGCGGUGAAAUGCGCAGAUAUCGGGAAGAACACCCGUGGCGAAGGCGGCACUCUGGGACGGUACUGACGCUGAGACGCGAAAGCGUGGGGAGCGAACAGG